rnacentral:rRNA from 1 species
GGCUCUUUGACGUUAGUAUAUAAAGAGUCGUGUCUGCCCAGUGACUAAUGUUUAACGGCCGCAGUACCCUGACUGUGCAAAGGUAGCAUAAUAAAUUGUCUUAUAAUUGAAGACUUGCAUGAAUGACUUGACGGAGCAGACCUGUCUUAAACAUACUAUUUAAAAAUUAUAUUUUAAGUGAAAAUACUUAAAUAAAAUUGGAGGACGAGAAGACCCUAUCGAGCUUUAAAAAAAUUAUUUUAAAAAAAUUAUUAAAAAUUUAAUUUAAUAUAAGUUAUUUUAGUUGGGGCGACUGAGGGACAUUAAAAGCUCCCUUAUUAAAUUUAAAUUAUGUUUUUUGAUCCAGUAAUUACUGAUACUAAGAAUUAGUUACCGUAGGGAUAACAGCGUAAUUUCUUUUAUAAGUUCGUAUUAACAAAGAAGCUUGCGACCUCGAUGUUGAAUUAGGAUACCAUAAGGGUGUAGCCGCUUUUGAGGUUGGUCUGUUCGACCAUUGAAAUCCUA